CGGCUUCCGGGUAGUGGCAGGUGAGGCCGCGUGGGGCCAGCGGCGGCUCCUUGCUGGUCUGUGGCUCUGGGCCCAAGACCCGAGCCUCCUACAGGGGCGGCCCCCUGCCUGAGGCGCGGGUGGGUUCCGACCUCCGAGAGCCGGUCUGGAAGCACUGAGGGGCCCCUACUUUUGCCCCCGAAGUCAGCGGGGCAACAGCCGCUCCCUUGCAGGAGCCGGGCCGUGGGCGGAGGGCCCCGGUGGGUGAGAUCGGUGACCCCCGAAAACUCCGACCAAAGAGCUGCAGCAAGAAAGGAGUUGGUUCCCACAAACCGCCCAGAGUCAAGUGAGAUGUUUCUAAGGCCCUCGUUUUCUCUGUGCAUGGGAACUAAAAUCAGUCUGAUGGCAGCUGCACAAGAUGGGAAGGAGUAAUCCUUGAAAUUAGACCAAGGAAGCACGUGAAGUGUGUUUGCUCUCAGCCACCAGCCUCAGAAGAGCUCAAGUCCAGGUAGGGUACAUUUUACCUGAGAUCUACUCUGGGGUGUCUUCCCUUGGUCACAGCCUGCUCCCAGGCACUCCUGGUGAGUUGGGUCUCUUUCCUACAUGUUGUGUAGCAUUAUUGUCCCAUAUUCACAGUGAGCUGUCCGAUUCCCAGGAGCAGAAGCCUGUUUCUGAAGCAUCCAAUCAGUCUAGAAAUAAUAGUCUAGUUAUCUGAUUUUUCACAGCUCUUUGCCUUUUCCUUGCACUGAGGAGUUAGGUAGCUAACUUUAUUCACAUCAAACAGCUAUGGAAGUUAAAGUUAUCUCAGAUUCGGAGCUAUAGACAUUACUUAAGAAGCGCUGUGGUUCUUUAAGUAUAUUCACGUCAUAAGCACUCAGCAAACCAGGUUAUUCAAGAAUCCUCUUAUCUCAGAAAGCUGAUUACAUUAUAUAAAUUAUCAAGGCAUUUAUUUCAAAGAUACUGAGAAAAAUCAGAGCAUUCUUGUCAGGUGUCUGUGGCACUUUGGCACUUGACCCCAACAUUCUUAAACAUCCUCUCAUCAAGAGCAAGAGUGCCCCACACGCUUCUCUGAACCAGGAUGAGCCAGUGACUGCUUUGACCAAUUAAGUAUGAUAGAAAGGUUGCUAUGUGACUUUUCAGGCUGGAUCUGAAAAAGCCAUGCCAGUUUUGCUUUCUUUUCUUUGGAUACUUGCUCUGAGAGAAGUCUGCUGCCACAUAGAGUGUAUCUCCCCUAAGAAAGUCAUGCUGGAAAGGCCUUCUGGUCACAGCCCUGCUCAGCUUCCAGCAACAGCCAGCAUCCACUGCCAGCCAUGUGGACAGGCCAUCUUGGGUGUCCCCAGAUGUGUUGACGACUCAGCUCAGUGGAGCCUUCAGAUUGUUGCAGUCUCCACCAACAUCUGACUGCAACCUCUUGAGAAAUGCCUUGUGACAGCAAAGCAGCCAAGCCCUUCCGUAACUCAUAACCCACAAAAUCAUUUAAAAAGAUCGUUUUUAACAAAUUGGUUUUCGGUUCAUACCACUAAAGUUUUAGGGCAAUUUGUUUUACAGUGCCAUUGGGAAAGAAGUUUCUCCCCUUUGACACACCUCCUCACCAUUCCAGCUGCUCACUUUCACUUCUGAGUGUUUGUGCUGUAGUUGCUUCAGUCCAUAUCUUCUUGGGUUUAUCUUUUCAUACUUUACACAUAUACACACACAGCCACAUAGGCACAGCCACCCACAUAGAAAAUUGAUCACUUGGCUCAGUUCUACUCCCCAGAUGACUUCAUUCAGACCUCAUUUUUCAGCUG
ensembl:lncRNA